rnacentral:lncRNA from 1 species
UUGAGGCUUUGUGUGGUAUGAUAUGUCAUUCUUUGGUUGGAUGGUUUGAGACUUCAGAGAUUAGGCGUUGUGGCACUAGUUUCCUUCAGUAGGUGUUGAAUAGAGUUAGGAUGAUUCAAAAUAGGUUGAGAGUGGAUCAAAGUAGGCACAAGGACUAUCCAGACCAUAGGCUUUGUGCCAUAAGAUUUGGAGUUGGUGAUCAUGUAUUCCUCGUUGUAUCACCCAUGAAGGG